rnacentral:rRNA from 1 species
UACGGAGGGUGCAAGCGUUAUCCGGAUUCACUGGGUUUAAAGGGUGCGUAGGUGGGAAAGUAAGUCAGUGGUGAAAUCUCCGUGCUUAACACGGAAACUGCCAUUGAUACUAUUUUUCUUGAAUUUUCUGGAGGUCAGCGGAAUAUGUCAUGUAGCGGUGAAAUGCUUAGAUAUGACAUAGAACACCAAUUGCGAAGGCAGCUGGCUACAGGGAUAUUGACACUGAGGCACGAAAGCGUGGGUAGCAAACAGG